rnacentral:rRNA from 1 species
GACGAACGCUGGCGGCGUGCUUAACACAUGCAAGUCGAACGAUGAAGCCGGAGCUUGCUCUGGUGAAUUAGUGGCGAACGGGUGAGUAACACGUGAGUAACCUGCCCUUGACUCUGGGAUAACUGCGGGAAACUGUAGCUAAUACCGGAUACGACCCUCGGAGGCAUCUCCUGGGGGUGGAAAGAAUUUAGGUCAAGGAUGGACUCGCGGCCUAUCAGCUAGUUGGUGAGGUAAUGGCUCACCAAGGCGACGACGGGUAGCCGGCCUGAGAGGGUGACCGGCCACACUGGGACUGAGACACGGCCCAGACUCCUACGGGAGGCAGCAGUGGGGAAUAUUGCACAAUGGGCGCAAGCCUGAUGCAGCAACGCCGCGUGAGGGAUGACGGCCUUCGGGUUGUAAACCUCUUUUAGUAGGGAAGAAGCGAAAGUGACGGUACCUGCAGAAAAAGCACCGGCUAACUACGUGCCAGCAGCCGCCGUAA